rnacentral:rRNA from 1 species
GGGUUGUGAGGUUAAGCGACUAAGCGUACACGGUGGAUGCCCUGGCAGUCAGAGGCGAUGAAGGACGUGCUAAUCUGCGAUAAGCGCCGGUAAGGUGAUAUGAACCGUUAUAACCGGCGAUUUCCGAAUGGGGAAACCCAGUGUGACUCGUCACACUAUCAUUAACUGAAUCCAUAGGUUAAUGAGGCGAACCGGGGGAACUGAAACAUCUAAGUACCCCGAGGAAAAGAAAUCAACCGAGAUUCCCCCAGUAGCGGCGAGCGAACGGGGAGGAGCCCAGAGCCUGAAUCAGCAUGUGUGUUAGUGGAAGCGUCUGGAAAGGCGCGCGAUACAGGGUGACAGCCCCGUACACAAAAGCGCACAUGCUGUGAGCUCGAUGAGUAGGGCGGGACACGUGGUAUCCUGUCUGAAUAUGGGGGGACCAUCCUCCAAGGCUAAAUACUCCUGACUGACCGAUAGUGAACCAGUACCGUGAGGGAAAGGCGAAAAGAACCCCGGCGAGGGGAGUGAAAAAGAACCUGAAACCGUGUACGUACAAGCAGUGGGAGCCCCACCACUAAGCCAGUGGUGAAAUCCACAUACGCAUCCUUUGC